rnacentral:rRNA from 1 species
UACGUAGGGUGCAAGCGUUAAUCGGAAUUACUGAGCGUAAAGCGUGCGCAGGCGGUUUUGUAAGUCUGUCGUGAAAGCCCCCGGGCUCAACCUGGGAAUUGCGAUGGAGACUGCAAGGCUUGAAUCUGGCAGAGGGGGGUAGAAUUCCACGUGUAGCAGUGAAAUGCGUUAGAGAUGUGGAGGAACACCGAUGGCGAAGGCAGCCCCCUGGGUCAAGAUUGACGCUCAUGCACGAAAGCGUGGGGAGCAAACAGG